rnacentral:rRNA from 1 species
CCUACGGGUGGCUGCAGUGGGGAAUAUUGGACAAUGGGCGAAAGCCUGAUCCAGCCAUGCCGCGUGUGUGAAGAAGGCCUUCGGGUUGUAAAGCACUUUCAGUGGGGAAGAAAGCCUUGGGGCUAAUACCCUCGAGGAAGGACAUCACCCACAGAAGAAGCCCCGGCUAACUCCGUGCCAGCAGCCGCGGUAAUACGGAGGGUGCGAGCGUUAAUCGGAAUUACUGGGCGUAAAGCGCGCGUAGGCGGUCUGAUAAGCCGGUUGUGAAAGCCCCGGGCUCAACCUGGGAACGGCAUCCGGAACUGUCAGGCUAGAGUGCAGGAGAGGAAGGUAGAAUUCCCGGUGUAGCGGUGAAAUGCGUAGAGAUCGGGAGGAAUACCAGUGGCGAAGGCGGCCUUCUGGACUGACACUGACGCUGAGGUGCGAAAGCGUGGGUAGCAAACAAGAUUAGAUACCCGAGUAGUC